GACGAGGUGGCCAAGUGGUUAAGGCGAUGGACUGCUAAUCUAUUGGGGGUUGAGUUCGAAUCUCAUCCUUGUCG